AUCGUUCCUAUUUAAAAAAAAAGGGGGAAAACAAAUUUGCCAAAAUUUCUUGGUACUUUUAUCUCAUUGCUACAAGAUAAUUUAUAUAUUUAAAUUAAAGUAUUUAUUAGUAUGAUUAUCAUUUCAAAAUUAGUAUUAAUAAUUCUUUGACAAAGUCAAGAUGUUUAACUUAAUGACUUAUGUAAUAUUAUUUAGUUUAAUUAUGUUGUGUUAUUGUGAAAAUAAUACAAUUGCAAGAGGUUUUAUGAAAAAAACCUUACCAGCAAUAUUUGACAAUUUCAGACAAAAAACUGAUUGUCAAGUUGGGUUUUUAUUUAAAGCUGGAAAAUGUAGAAAAAUUACACCUUUUUAAUUUGGAACAAAAUUCUUCUACAAUUGCCAAUAAUUAAAGCAAUAAAUAUUAAUAAUCGACAA